GAUCCAGCCAUACCGCGUGGGUGAAGAAGGCCUUCGGGUUGUAAAGCCCUUUUGUUGGGAAAGAAAUCCAGCUGGUUAAUACCCGGUUGGGAUGACGGUACCCAAAGAAUAAGCACCGGCUAACUUCGUGCCAGCAGCCGCGGUAAUACGAAGGGUGCAAGCGUUACUCGGAAUUACUGGGCGUAAAGCGUGCGUAGGUGGUCGUUUAAGUCCGUUGUGAAAGCCCUGGGCUCAACCUGGGAACUGCAGUGGAUACUGGGCGACUAGAGUGUGGUAGAGGGUAGCGGAAUUCCUGGUGUAGCAGUGAAAUGCGUAGAGAUCAGGAGGAACAUCCAUGGCGAAGGCAGCUACCUGGACCAACACUGACACUGAGGCACGAAAGCGUGGGGAGCAAACAGGAUUAGAUACCCUGGUAGUCCACGCCCUAAACGAUGCGAACUGGAUGUUGGGUGCAAUUUGGCACGCAGUAUCGAAGCUAACGCGUUAAGUUCGCCGCCUGGGGAGUACGGUCGCAAGACUGAAACUCAGAGGAAUUGACGGGGGCCCGCACAAGCGGUGGAGUAUGUGGUUUAAUUCGAUGCAGCGCGUAGAACCUUACCUGGCCUUGACAUGUCGAGAACUUUCCAGAGAUGGAUUGGUGCCUUCGGGAACUCGAACACAGGUGCUGCAUGGUCUUGUUCUGCAC
rnacentral:rRNA from 1 species